rnacentral:tRNA from 1 species
GGAGAGGUGACUGAGUGGUUGAAAGUACCACUCUCGAAAAGUGGCAUACCGGCAACGGUAUCGGGAGUUCGAAUCUCCCCCUCUCCG